rnacentral:tRNA from 1 species
AGGACCUGGAGGACCUGGCCCUCUAGAGACCGCGCCCCUGCGGACUUUUAAUCCGUAGGUUCCGGGUUCGAGCCCCGGGCGCCCUACCA